rnacentral:rRNA from 1 species
GACGAACGCUGGCGGCGUGCUUAAUACAUGCAAGUCGAGCGCUGACGGUCGGUUCUUUUGGCAAGUGGAUGGGCGGCGAACGGGUGAGUAACGCGUGGGGAAUCUCCCUCUGCGCGGGGGACAACAUUUGGAAACGAAUGCUAAUAGCGCAUAACAACUUGAUACACAAGGUUUAAGUUUGAAAGAUGCAAUUGCCUCACUCAAAGGUGAUCCCGCGUUGUAUUAGCUAGUUGGUGGGGUAAAGGCUCAUCGAGGCGAGGAUACAUAGCCGAGCUGCGAGGGUGGGCGGCCACACUGGGAGUGAGACACGGCACAGACUCCUACGGGAGGGAGCAGUAGGGAAGCUUCGGCAAGGGACGGAAGUGUGACCGAGCGACGCCGCGUGAGGGGAGAAGGGUGUCGGAUCGGAAAACUCUGUUGGUAGAGAAGAACGUUGGGGAGAGUGGAAAGCGGAGCAAGUGACGGUAACUACGCAGAAAGGGACGGCUAACUACGUG